AUCCCGCUUGACAAAAUUACAGGUGAAUCUAGCCAUUUUGAGUACUGAUAUUUUUUAGCUGACGUAUGCCAAAUCUUGCCACAUUGUCUGCUAAGUUUUUGUUGCAACUUGAGAUCGAUGAAGUUUUCUUUCUCAAUUAUAGGUAACCUCUAGAUGUGUUGGCUUUUACAGAGAUUCAUUUAACAAUGUAGAAUAUUGUAUAUAGUAAUGCUCUAAACAUUAUCUAUAUAUGCUGUAUCCAAAGACUGAUGAAGUCUUUUGUCUGUGUUUUAUUAUCUUGAGUACAUCUUAAAGUUUCUUUCAUGUGUCUAUUCUUUUUCUUCAUCUUCCCUUCUCCUGGAUGCAAUUCACAAAGAUACUACUUCUAAUGUCAUCCUGCAGGUAGUUCGGCAUUUUUGGGAA
rnacentral:misc_RNA from 1 species